rnacentral:lncRNA from 1 species
GGGGACUAGCCUUACCUGCAAGCAGCACUGGCAAAAUGAUUAAAAGAAAAUUGUUCAAUCACCCAUAUUAUUUACUAAAAAAUAUGUUACAUAAUGAACAUUAAUUUUAAAAAACAAGUCAAAUAUGGAUAGUAACCAUAUUAUCCAUUUACAAAAUAGCUAACUAAUAGGUUUAAUUUUUAUAUUUGUAUAAAACUUUAAUUUGGGGGUUGCUCAAGUUUGGGAAACAGGGAGUUCUCCCAAAAGUGAUCAUAUUCAAGAAACCUUAUGAUUACCCGUAUUAUCUCUGGUAAUUAAUCCAUUUUUUAUCCGUAUUAAAUAUAAAUCGGAUCAAAUAAUUAUUCAUUUUUCUAUUACCUAUUUUCGACCCGUCCCGUUUAUCUACCGCCCCCACCAGUAAGUUAUCACAUAAGGACAGAGUCAUUGUCAUUGUCCUUCAAAAAAUAGGGAUGGUCCUAUAAAGGCACCACAUCCCUAUGACAAAAAUAUGACUAAUCAAACAAAGAAGUAUGUCUCAUGAUUCAAAUUUAAUGGUUACAAAGUUAUGAGUUCGCUGAAAACAUACAUUCAAAAGUAAAUAUUUUUAGAUUUUUCACACAAACAAACAUACACAUAUCUAUAUUUUUUUCUAAACUUUCUUCAAGUUAAAUUUUAUGAGAAACAACUUCUCUAACUUCAUAAGGUAGGGAUAAAGUCUCCGUACAAACUAUUCCCUUAAGAGCCCGGAUUAUACUAAUUUAUUGUUGUUGUAUAUAUAUUAUUUAUGUCGAAUAUGAUGGAUUUAAUUGAACACACCUUAACACUAUUUAUCCGCCCUUGCUGAUCACAGUUACUUUUUUGUUCUGCUGUAUAUCGAAACUAUAUAUUAUAAUAUUAACUAGUUUGAAUACCAUAAAUUGCAGGAAGUUUGGACACUAUGCAGAAUAUUCAAGAGGACUUCAAAUUACAAGAGAUUUACACCAGAUUGGAAGCAGCCCAUUAUUAAACAAAGUUUUGGUGAUGCAAGUUCAAAAGCAUGCAGUCUUCAAUCUGAAACAAGUGAUAAUCACUCUAUUAAUAUCAACUUCAAGAAGAUGGAAUUUCCACAUAAGAACAAUAAUACAGCAAUUGGAGGAAAUUAUCAAGUUGAUCAAAGAAACACUGAUUGCAAUAAUAGCCAACGAAUAAUUACCAUGCUUCAAUCUUCAAUCACAUCAUCAAACUCAAGCUUUUGGAAUACAAGUGCUGAAGAGCAGUAUUUGUUUAGUGAUGGAAACUGGGAUGAGCUCAAAUCCGUCGUUGAUUUAGCUAUUGAUCCUUGUAGUCUUUUUGGAUUUAGAUAAACUGCACAAGGACCGGGUGCAGAAAUUGAGGUGCUGAAUCAGUGGUGAAUUCAAAAUUUAGAGUCAACGGGCUAUGUUUUUAAUCUAUGUCGAGCUAGAUGCAGCGGGUUUGACAUGGUUCUAUUAUUUAUGUAUGUGUUAUUUCACACAUAUAUAUAGUUCGAGCCAGAAACAACGAGUUCCAAAUGAGUUGGAUAGACGACACAGAAAGUACAUCUAUCUAUGCAUGACGUACCACUUGUUAUUGCCUGCUGUUACACGACUAUGUUUAGUUGCGAUUGAAGUUAAAACAGAAUGCAGAUCAGGUAAGAUACACCCCCAAGAGAGAGCACCAUUCUACUUAUUUUUCGAUCUGCACUUCCCUAUUUCUCUAACUAGCGUUCUGCAUUUCUAGUUAAUUAGGACUGAGAUUUAUCUUGUAAAGUACGAAUUUUCUAGACACUGCCUUCUUCUUGUUCAGAAUUUCACAGAGUACUUUUUGUUUGGAAUAAAAUAAGAUGGAGUAAUAUUUUAUGAGGGAAAAUAUAUGGUUUCCCAAACUCAAAAUAGUUGUACCAAAGUCAACUACUUACAAAGACAUCAACUUAUAACUAAUUCUAGUCACAACACAAACUCAAAAAGUUUAUGAUUUUACAAAGGGGCUCCUAAGCAACGCUUCUAGCUAAGAAAUUUUGGAAUUACAAUAGCAACAAUCACAAAGUUACAACUCAAGUAAGGACAACAAAAUACUAGAUUUAGGAACUAGUCCGUAGUAGCGUUUAACUUUGUUCUUCAAGCUCUUGAGGAUUGAGUUCACUAUUUUCAGAAGGCUUGAAUGCUUGAAGUUAAUCCAAAGUGUUCAAGUGAUGUUUUUGUUAUAAUGCUCU